GGUUAAGCGACUAAGCGUACACGGUGGAUGCCCUGGCAGUCAGAGGCGAUGAAGGACGUGCUAAUCUGCGAUAAGCGUCGGUGAGGUGAUAUGAACCGUUAUAACCGGCGAUUUCCGAAUGGGGAAACCCAGUGUGUUUCGACACACUAUCAUUAACUGAAUCCAUAGGUUAAUGAGGCGAACCGGGGGAACUGAAACAUCUAAGUACCCCGAGGAAAAGAAAUCAACCGAGAUUCCCCCAGUAGCGGCGAGCGAACGGGGAGGAGCCCAGAGCCUGAAUCAGUGUGUGUGUUAGUGGAAGCGUCUGGAAAGGCGCGCGAUACAGGGUGACAGCCCCGUACACAAAAAUGCACAUACUGUGAGCUCGAUGAGUAGGGCGGGACACGUGGUAUCCUGUCUGAAUAUGGGGGGACCAUCCUCCAAGGCUAAAUACUCCUGACUGACCGAUAGUGAACCAGUACCGUGAGGGAAAGGCGAAAAGAACCCCGGCGAGGGGAGUGAAAAAGAACCUGAAACCGUGUACGUACAAGCAGUGGGAGCCUCUUAAUGGGGUGACUGCGUACCUUUUGUAUAAUGGGUCAGCGACUUAUAUUCUGUAGCAAGGUUAACCGAAUAGGGGAGCCGAAGGGAAACCGAGUCUUAACUGGGCGUUAAGUUGCAGGGUAUAGACCCGAAACCCGGUGAUCUAGCCAUGGGCAGGUUGAAGGUUGGGUAACACUAACUGGAGGACCGAACCGACUAAUGUUGAAAAAUUAGCGGAUGACUUGUGGCUGGGGGUGAAAGGCCAAUCAAACCGGGAGAUAGCUGGUUCUCCCCGAAAGCUAUUUAGGUAGCGCCUCGUGAAUUCAUCUCCGGGGGUAGAGCACUGUUUCGGCAAGGGGGUCAUCCCGACUUACCAACCCGAUGCAAACUGCGAAUACCGGAGAAUGUUAUCACGGGAGACACACGGCGGGUGCUAACGUCCGUCGUGAAGAGGGAAACAACCCAGACCGCCAGCUAAGGUCCCAAAGUCAUGGUUAAGUGGGAAACGAUGUGGGAAGGCCCAGACAGCCAGGAUGUUGGCUUAGAAGCAGCCAUCAUUUAAAGAAAGCGUAAUAGCUCACUGGUCGAGUCGGCCUGCGCGGAAGAUGUAACGGGGCUAAACCAUGCACCGAAGCUGCGGCAGCGACACUAUGUGUUGUUGGGUAGGGGAGCGUUCUGUAAGCCUGUGAAGGUGGCCUGUGAGGGUUGCUGGAGGUAUCAGAAGUGCGAAUGCUGACAUAAGUAACGAUAAAGCGGGUGAAAAGCCCGCUCGCCGGAAGACCAAGGGUUCCUGUCCAACGUUAAUCGGGGCAGGGUGAGUCGACCCCUAAGGCGAGGCCGAAAGGCGUAGUCGAUGGGAAACAGGUUAAUAUUCCUGUACUUGGUGUUACUGCGAAGGGGGACGGAGAAGGCUAUGUUGGCCGGGCGACGGUUGUCCCGGUUUAAGCGUGUAGGCUGGUUUUCCAGGCAAAUCCGGAAAAUCAAGGCUGAGGCGUGAUGACGAGGCACUACGGUGCUGAAGCGACAAAUGCCCUGCUUCCAGGAAAAGCCUCUAAGCAUCAGGUAACAUCAAAUCGUACCCCAAACCGACACAGGUGGUCAGGUAGAGAAUACCAAGGCGCUUGAGAGAACUCGGGUGAAGGAACUAGGCAAAAUGGUGCCGUAACUUCGGGAGAAGGCACGCUGAUAUGUAGGUGAAGCGACUUGCUCGUGGAGCUGAAAUCAGUCGAAGAUACCAGCUGGCUGCAACUGUUUAUUAAAAACACAGCACUGUGCAAACACGAAAGUGGACGUAUACGGUGUGACGCCUGCCCGGUGCCGGAAGGUUAAUUGAUGGGGUUAGCGGUAACGCGAAGCUCUUGAUCGAAGCCCCGGUAAACGGCGGCCGUAACUAUAACGGUCCUAAGGUAGCGAAAUUCCUUGUCGGGUAAGUUCCGACCUGCACGAAUGGCGUAAUGAUGGCCAGGCUGUCUCCACCCGAGACUCAGUGAAAUUGAACUCGCUGUGAAGAUGCAGUGUACCCGCGGCAAGACGGAAAGACCCCGUGAACCUUUACUAUAGCUUGACACUGAACAUUGAGCCUUGAUGUGUAGGAUAGGUGGGAGGCUUUGAAGUGUGGACGCCAGUCUGCAUGGAGCCGACCUUGAAAUACCACCCUUUAAUGUUUGAUGUUCUAACGUGGGCCCCUUACCGGGGUUGCGGACAGUGUCUGGUGGGUAGUUUGACUGGGGCGGUCUCCUCCUAAAGAGUAACGGAGGAGCACGAAGGUUGGCUAAUCCUGGUCGGACAUCAGGAGGUUAGUGCAAUGGCAUAAGCCAGCUUGACUGCGAGCGUGACGGCGCGAGCAGGUGCGAAAGCAGGUCAUAGUGAUCCGGUGGUUCUGAAUGGAAGGGCCAUCGCUCAACGGAUAAAAGGUACUCCGGGGAUAACAGGCUGAUACCGCCCAAGAGUUCAUAUCGACGGCGGUGUUUGGCACCUCGAUGUCGGCUCAUCACAUCCUGGGGCUGAAGUAGGUCCCAAGGGUAUGGCUGUUCGCCAUUUAAAGUGGUACGCGAGCUGGGUUUAGAACGUCGUGAGACAGUUCGGUCCCUAUCUGCCGUGGGCGCUGGAGAACUGAGGGGGCUGCUCCUAGUACGAGAGGACCGGAGUGGACGCAUCACUGGUGUUCGGGUUGUCAUGCCAAUGGCACUGCCCGGUAGCUAAAUGCGGAAGAGAUAAGUGCUGAAAGCAUCUAAGCACGAAACUUGCCCCGAGAUGAGUUCUCCCUGACUCCUUGAGAGUCCUGAAGGAACGUUGAAGACGACGACGUUGAUAGGCCGGGUGUGUAAGCGCAGCGAUGCGUUGAGCUAACCGGUACUAAUGAACCGUGAGGCUUAACCUU
rnacentral:rRNA from 1 species